rnacentral:rRNA from 1 species
GACGAACGCUGGCGGCGUGCUUAACACAUGCAAGUCGAACGGAAAGGCCCCGCUCGCGGGGUACUCGAGUGGCGAACGGGUGAGUAACACGUGGGUGAUCUGCCCUGCACUUCGGGAUAAGCCUGGGAAACUGGGUCUAAUACCGGAUAUGACCUCCCUUUAGUGGUGGGGGUGGAAAGAUUUAUCGGUGCAGGAUGAGCCCGCGGCCUAUCAGCUUGUUGGUGGGGUAAUGGCCUACCAAGGCGUCGACGGGUAGCCGGCCUGAGAGGGUGGACGGCCACAUUGGGACUGAGAUACGGCCCAG